AUACGGAGGGUGCAAGCGUUGUCCGGAUUUAUUGGGUUUAAAGGGUGCGUAGGCGGUGCGCUAAGUCAGUGGUGAAAUCCCGCAGCUCAACUGCGGAACUGCCAUUGAUACUGGCGCACUUGAGUACGGACGAGGUAGGCGGAAUUUAUGGUGUAGCGGUGAAAUGCAUAGAUACCAUAAAGAACACCGAUAGCGAAGGCAGCUUACUAGACCGUAACUGACGCUCAGGCACGAAAGCGUGGGGAGCGAACAGGAUUAGAUACCCCAGUAGUCC
rnacentral:rRNA from 1 species